rnacentral:rRNA from 1 species
AGGUCCCGCCUGCCCUGUGACCCAGUGUUUAACGGCCGCGGUAUUUUGACCGUGCAAAGGUAGCGCAAUCACUUGUCUUUUAAAUAAAGACUAGUAUGAAUGGCAUAACGAGGGCUUAACUGUCUCCUUACCCCAGUCAAUGAAAUUUAUCUCUUCGUGCAGAAGCGAAGAUAACAACAUAAGACGAGAAGACCCUAUGAAGCUUUAGAUGAAUAGUAAAUAAUAUUUGUAACUUGACUAUAAGAAUAAAUUAAAUUAAAAUCACUAAACAUCUUUGGUUGGGGCGACCGCGGAGCAAAAAAUAACCUCCGUGAGGAAUGGUUAUUAACCAUAACUAAGAACUACACUUCAAAGUACCAAAAGAUUUGACCACAAGAUCCGGUAUAACCGAUUAACGAACCGAGUUACUCUAGGGAUAACAGCGCAAUCUUCUCCAAGAGUCCCUAUCGACGAGAAGGUUUACGACCUCGAUGUUGGAUCAGGACAUCCUAAUGGUGCAGCAGCUAUUAAGGGUUCGUUUGUUCAACGAUUAAAGUCC